rnacentral:rRNA from 1 species
UACGGAGGGUGCAAGCGUUAUCCGGAUUUACUGGGCUUAAAGGGUGCGUAGGCGGGUAAGUAAGUCAGUGGUGAAAUCUCCGGGCUUAACCCGGAAACUGCCAUUGAUACUAUUUGUCUUGAAUACUGUGGAGGUCAGCGGAAUAUGUCAUGUAGCGGUGAAAUGCUUAGAUAUGACAUAGAACACCAAUUGCGAAGGCAGCUGGCUACACAAAUAUUGACGCUGAGGCACGAAAGCGUGGGGAUCAAACAGG